rnacentral:rRNA from 1 species
UGCGGAGGAUCAUUAACGAAUAUAAUUCGAGGGGUUGUCGCUGGCCUCGCUCGCGCGAGGCAUGUGCACGCUUCUCGUUUUUCUCUCAACUCACCUGUGCACCUAAUGUAGGAUGCCUCUCCUCCGGGAGGGGGGACCUAUGUCUUCGUAACAUCUUCGUGUAGAAAGUCUUUGAAUGUUUACUAUCAUCGAGUCGCGACUUCUAGGAGACGCGGUUCUUUGAGAUAAAAGUUAUUACAACUUUCAGCAACGGAUCUCUUGGCUCUCGCAUCGAUGAAGAACGCAGCGAAAAGCGAUAUGUAAUGUGAAUUGCAGAUCUACAGUGAAUCAUCGAAUCUUUGAACGCACCUUGCGCUCCUCGGUGUUCCGAGGAGCAUGCCUGUUUGAGUGUCAGUAAAUUCUCAACCCCUCUCGAUUAGCUUCGAGAGGGCGCUUGGAUAGUGGAGGUUGCCGGAGACUUGGAUUCGUCCGAGACUCGGGCUCUUCUGAAAUGCAUCGGCUUGCGGUCGACUUUCGACUAUGUGCGACAAGGCUUUCGGCGUGAUAAUGAUCGCCGUUCGCUGAAGCGCAUGACUGAACGUCCCGUGCCUCUAAUACGUCGACCGCUUAUUAUCUCUCCGGAGAGAACAGGGUCUUCCUUAUUGACUUUUGACCUCAAAUCAGGUAGGACUACCCGCUGAACUUAAGCAUAUCAAUA